rnacentral:rRNA from 1 species
AACGAACGCUGGCGGCAGGCCUAACACAUGCAAGUCGAGCGCCCGCAAGGGAGCGGCGGACGGGUGAGUAACGCGUGGGAACGUGCCCUUUGCUACGGAAUAGUCUCGGGAAACUGAGAGUAAUACCGUAUGUGCCCUUCGGGGGAAAGAGUUAUCGGCAAAGGAUCGGCCCGCGUUGGAUUAGGUAGUUGGUGGGGUAAUGGCCUACCAAGCCGACGAUCCAUAGCUGGUUUGAGAGGAUGAUCAGCCACACUGGGACUGAGACACGGCCCAGACUCCUACGGGAGGCAGCAGUGGGGAAUCUUAGACAAUGGGCGCAAGCCUGAUCUAGCCAUGCCGCGUGAGCGAUGAAGGCCUUAGGGUUGUAAAGCUCUUUCGUGGGGGAAGAUAAUGACGGUACCCCAAGAAGAAGCCCCGGCUAACUCCGUGCCAGCCGCCGCGGUAAAAC